ACGAGACUGCAAAGUGGAGCGAAACCCAGAAAAGUACUCUCAGUUCAGAUUGUGGGCUGCAACCCGCCCACAUGAAGUUGGAGUUGCUAGUAAUCGCGGAUCAGCAUGCCGCGGUGAAUACGUUCCCGGGCCUUGUACACACCGCCCGUCACACCAUGGGAGUUGGGAGCGCCCGAAGCCGGUGAGGUAACCGAGAGGAGCCAGCCGUCGAAGGUGAGACCAAUGACUGGGGUGAAGUCGUAACAAGGUAUC
rnacentral:rRNA from 1 species